UACGAAGGGGGCUAGCGUUGCUCGGAAUCACUGGGCGUAAAGGGUGCGUAGGCGGGUCUUUAAGUCAGGGGUGAAAUCCUGGAGCUCAACUCCAGAACUGCCUUUGAUACUGAAGAUCUUGAGUUCGGGAGAGGUGAGUGGAACUGCGAGUGUAGAGGUGAAAUUCGUAGAUAUUCGCAAGAACACCAGUGGCGAAGGCGGCUCACUGGCCCGAUACUGACGCUGAGGCGCGAAGGCGUGGGGAGCAAACAGG
rnacentral:rRNA from 1 species